GUUUACUACGACAGCGCCGCUGACGGCGAGUUUGGCACUUACGCUCGUUGCUCCGUUUUACGAUUGUCACGGUCGUCCCCGGUCGUAUGUGCCUUGUCGUUGUGUGUUUCGUUCAAGUUGUAUAGUUUAUUCAUCACAUUCUGUGUCUCGUUCAGAGUAUUUCUCCGCUGCACAUUGCGAUUCUGAGGUUUCCCGCAGUGCGGAUUUAACUCGUGGAUCGUCACGAUCAGUGCGACUAAAACAAAAUGGCCGCAGCCGCGGCUGCCGCAUUGCUCGAUGAGCUUAUGGGUAGGAACAGGAACGUCCUACCCAAUGAAAAGCCCAAAGAACUUAAUUGGGAAGAUCCUGAGUUCUGCAAGCUAUAUCUUGUGAAGUUCUGUCCCCAUGAUUUGUUUGUCAACACAAGAGCUGAUUUAGGAGCUUGUCCCAGAAUGCAUGAUGAUGAGGCUAGAGAAUUGUUUGAAAAGGCACCACCUUCAUACCGCAAGCAGCAAUAUGAGGAUGAAUUUAUCAGGUAUUGCCAGAGUAUGUUAAAUGAGGUAGAACGUAAAAUUGUGAAAGGGAAGCAGCGAUUGGCCUUAAUCGGUAGAACAGAAGCGCCAACAUUAACACUAGCUCAAACGCAAAAAAACGAGGAACAGAUUGCUUUAUUAACAGAGAAAAUAAAUAAAUUAGUGGAUGAGGCAGAACAAAGUGGAAUUCAGGGCAAUGUUGAACAAGCGCAAGGCUUGAUGCGCCUCUGCGAUCAACUAAAAGAAGAACGAGAGACCCUAAAAAAGUCCAACGACAACAGUCAUUAUAAUCAGACCGCUGAAUUAGCAGCAGCGCAGGAAAAGCAGAUGGAGGUGUGUGAUGUUUGCGGCGCAUUUUUAAUUGUUGGCGACGCUCAGCAGCGAAUUGAUGAUCAUCUGAUGGGAAAGCAGCAUGUGGGUUAUGCGAGAUUGAAGAGCGCCCUUCAAGAAAUUAUGAGCAAGCGUGAAAAAGCACGUGAUGAGAAAGAGCAGAAGAGGGAGGAAGAGCGAAAACAAAGAGCACGUGCGAAUGAAGAACUAGACAGGCGGCGAAGAGACGGUGAUAGAGAUAGAGAUCGUGACAGAGAAAGGGACAAACGUCGUAGACGUACCGAUGAUGAUAAACGCCGUGACUCGAGCAGUCAUAGAUAUUGUUUUUUUGCACAGAAAUUCCGGACAUAGAAGUAGAAGUAGGUCGCGAGAUAAACAUGAACGUCACCGUGAUGAGGAUAGUCACCGACGUCACAACCGAGGAAAUCGCGAUCAUCGGGGUACCAGCCAUCACAGUCGGCGCCGACACCGCUCGCGAAGCCGAAGUCACAAGUAACUUCUCUUGAUUGGUUAGUGAGUGAGAAGUAAGCCAGGUAUGCACCAAACAAUAUAACCAUAUUCGUCUCAAUUACUGUACAGGUACUCUUUCGAUCCAGGUGAGUUGCCAUUCCGAUGCACAUAAUACAUAUACAUGAUAAUAUAAUCUGUGAUGUUUGAAGUGCCGCGUAAGUCACACAGCAAGUUCGUCUCUCGCUCUCUCUGAAACACACUCUAUCUCUCUCCGCCUCUCUCUAUCUGACUUUCCGUCAUGAUUAGUCAUUUCUCGCGAGGUGAAGCUCGAUGAAGAAGUUGAUCUGACACCGUUGGCCUCUGUCACGUUUCUCCUUAUCGUUAAAAAGGCGACUCGUAAUUGAUGGUGCUAUCAAGUGUGUGAUGUGUGAGAGAUGGUGAAGUCGACAGACCGACAAGUCUUAUCUUGAUACUUAUCACUAGGUAGUAUCGUAGAUAAUGAAACAAUGAAUUCAAUGCAACAAUGAUUUAACUCCCUUUUCUGAGAAAAGCGAGUUAUUUUAGCGAGCAGUAUUAACUUUAAAAACAAGAAAAGUUUGAACUCUUUAAAAAGUCAGACUCUUUAAAACUUUUUAAAAAAUCAUAUUGUUGCAGUGAUUUUAAAGAGAAUUAUUACUACAAAGAGUGUUUUGAAUAAACCCAUCGUUCAUUAACAAUUGAUCAUCAUCACAUUGAUCAGAUGUUAAAAUAAUUGCAGAAACAAUACCGAUUAAUGAUUAAUCUCUGUGUGUGUGACGGUUACUUGAUUAAUAGUUACUUCUCUCAGUCGUGAUUAUUAAUUAUUUGUUAAAGUGGUUGCGAUAAUAAUAGGUUACUACUACAACACUUGGUGCAUUCAGCAGCAACUGCUCACUGAGCGUUGAGUGAGUUCUUAAAUUCGAUUGGUACAUUCGUAUAGAUCUAAAAGUAUACCCCAAUCAAUACAAGAGCUCACUAAGCGCUCAAUAAGCGGUUGUAGCUCCUGGAUGCACCAACUGACAGAGACGCAAUUGACUAACUGAUAUCACAUUCCGUGCACUUUCUUUGUAUACCAAGCAAGCUGGGAGAAGGUAUACCUACGCUUGCUUUCACCGAUUAUAAUUCUAUAUCCGAGAAGCAGAUGGAUGUAGGUCCAAAAAGUUGCCUUUUUUCCAGGAGAUGAACUCCCGUGAACUCAUCUGGAUUCUUGGAUACAUGGUUUUAAGAUGAACUUUAAAAUGAGCCUCAAUAAGUGUACAGGUUGACACUCAUAUUUAAGAUAAUGUAGACCCAUAUUGUUUAUAUAUAUCUACUUCCAAAUAAAACAAAUUUGUAUAAAAGUACAUUUUUUUUUUAUUUAUCAUAACGUGCACUUAACGCAUUGUUUCCAGAAUUCCAGUCGAAUUUCGAGAGCUCCCAUUGGAUUCGCUUCGUUCUCUAGCUUAUACGUAAGCCCGUAUUCCCCGUUGAAUAAAAGGAUAAUUUUGGACCUUAUUCCUCCCUGCUUCUCUGGCAUGGAACUGUCUUUCGUAGGUUCGUUAAAAGUGCGGUAUUGCUCGCGCGUCGAUAAGAGAGAGGGAGAGAGAGAGAAAGAGAUUUAGUGAUUUAGUGUGGAGGGGACACAGCUCUCAGUGCCCGCUUCGUAGAGCUUCGUCCACGACUGCAAAUGCACGAGUGCACAACUACGAGUGCGCCCUGCAAACGUGUGACUGUGACUAUACGAAGCUCUAGCUUCUGCCACGCAAUUGACGAGGUAUUUAUGCCGGAAUGAUAAUACCAACACAUGUCCUGCCCAGGAGAAUAUUCCCCUUGCUUCUGUUCUCGAAUAUGUUUUCUUCGAGUCGGCGAACUAGGGACCUAACGAUUCUAGGCCUGUUACUUUAGACAGUGCAGAAAUUCUUGUGUCUCCAGUGCACAGAGUGACCGAAUCUCGCUUCGCGUACUCCGAGACAAUAACAGAAGAAACUAAGACAUUUAUCAUUUUUUUACAUAGGAAGUAAGACUAACAUUAAUGAACCGCACUAUCUUUAUCAUCACAAAAGGAUACAUCUUCACUCUCUCUUGAAAAUACGAAAAUACCAUUUCCUCAUCACGCAAGAAAAUGAACAUUAACGAAGGAAGGAGACAAAUAAUACGAUAUCUCUAAGAGCAAACAUUGACUUUCUUUUCUUUUUUUUGCGACAAUCUUCGCAACAAUUUCCUUGAAAAGAAAACUUAAUUAUUUAAAAAUUUUCGCAAUUAUUUCACCAUAAGUCAUUACCUCAUCUGACAAUAAGAGUUAGGUGAUCAGGCGCAUCAGCCGUAUCCGAUGUCGUUCGACACAAUUAAUAACAUCUAAUAUAAGGACCUCGUGCGCUUAUUAAACAAACACAACAGAGAGACAAGAUUUUACCAGCGAAGCUGGCAUAUGAUGCACAAUGUUUGACCACAUCGAAUCGUGAUCUGGAGACAUUCUUGUUAAAACUCGGAUUCUCUACUUUCAGAAAGAAGACGCGAGAAGAAAUAACUGGAGAUUAUGUAAGACGUCGCUUAACAUAUCGUUAAGGUAGAUUUUGCAUAAUCUCAACGGUGGUGAAAGAGUGGGAGAGAAAGAGAAGACAAACGAAGGAAAGAAUAUGCGUCAACACCAGAGAAAUCGGGAUUGGCUUAACUUAUGAUACGAGCGAUUGUUACUUUUAGGCCGUCUAUACAUAAACAGAUCAAUCAGCAAGGUAAAUUGUCUAUAGUAUACAUUGUAAUACUCGUAAGAUUGUUAUUUGAAAUUAAUAAAACAAUGUCGCAACGAAA